rnacentral:rRNA from 1 species
UUUAAAUUUAGAGUUUGAUCCUGGCUCAGGACGAACGCUGGCGGCGUGCUUAACACAUGCAAGUCGAGCGAUGAAGCUUCCUUCGGGAAGUGGAUUAGCGGCGGACGGGUGAGUAACACGUGGGUAACCUGCCUCAAAGUGGGGGAUAGCCUUCCGAAAGGAAGAUUAAUACCGCAUAAUAUA